rnacentral:rRNA from 1 species
UGAGGAAUAUUGGGCAAUGCCCGCAAGGGUGACCCAGCAACGCCGCGUGGAGGAUGAAUGUCGUAAGAUUGUAAACUCCUGUUAGAGGGGAAGAAUAGUACCGGUUGGACCGGUAUAUGACUGUACCCUCAGAGAAAGCCCCGGCUAACUACGUGCCAGCAGCCGCGGUAAUACGUAGGGGGCAAGCGUUGUCCGGAUUUACUGGGUGUAAAGGGCGCGCAGGCGGGAUAAAAAGUCAGUGGUGAAAUCCUACAGCUUAACUGUAGAACUGCCAUUGAUACUUUUAUUCUUGAGUUCGGGAGAGAGAGACGGAAUUCCAGGUGUAGUGGUGAAAUACGUAGAUAUCUGGAAGAACACCAGUUGCGAAGGCGGUCUCUUGGUCCGACACUGACGCUGAGGCGCGAAAGCGUGGGGAGCAAACA